CUUUGAAAGAACCAGGCGGCCUUGAUUCAGCAUUGGCUCCUGUGUUCCGUUGCGGGCACAAAUUAAAACCCUAAAUUCCCUUCUUCCGUCUGCAGUUAGAUUGGCUGGCUUCUAAUAAGCGACAUGCAAAAUGGUGUGUGAGAGCUCAAUUUCACCCGGCUUAAAUGUGGUUUUUGUGGGCAGCUUCAAGGUUUGACAUGUCUUUUGCAUCAUGUUUCAAUUUAGGGAAACUGCCCUAAAUCUAUUUUUUCUUUUAAUCGUUUAUUUGAAACUAUUUUUCUAAAACCGUUACUUUCAUGGCUUCACCUAUGUCGAUCCAUUAUACGUUUUUAUGAAAAUCAAAUGAGGAAUUGGCAUCUAGAUUUGUUCCUUCUGGUUUAAAGGGUGUGUCAACUGUAAGGGCUCAAAAUUUCAGGCUUUAUUUGGACUUAUUUUCUAUUGGAUUCAUCUAAUAUGUCCGUAGAUCACUUGAGAUCCCAUUUCAUUGUGAAGGUCAUAUUGUAACCAUUCUCCUGCUGUGAACAUGGGGAUAGAAUGAUAGAUUGAAAACUAGGUCUACCUGAUUGAGAGCGGCAGCCUUGGAUGUGGAGUACUUUUUUUUUCCUACCCAACAUGGAUACUGAAUGUCUUUGUUUUGUA